rnacentral:rRNA from 1 species
CUACGGGUCGCACCAGUGGGGAAUAUUGGACAAUGGGGGAAACCCUGAUCCAGCAAUGCCGCGUGUGUGAAGAAGGCCUGCGGGUUGUAAAGCACUUUCGGUUGGGAGGACUGCUUCUAGCACUAAUAUUGUUGGAAGUUGACGUUACCUUCAGAAGAAGCACCGGCUAACUCCGUGCCAGCAGCGCGCGGUAAUACGGAGGGUGCAAGCGUUAAUCGGAAUUACUGGGCGUAAAGCGCGCGUAGGCGGGUAGAUCAGUCGGGUGUGAAAGCCCCGGGCUUAACCUGGGAACUGCAUCCGAUACUGUCUAGCUUGAGUACAGGAGAGGAGGGUGGAAUUCCACAUGUAGCGGUGAAAUGCGUAGAUAUGUGGAGGAACACCAAUGGCGAAGGCAGCUCUCUGGCCUGAUACUGACGCUGAGGUGCGAAAGCGUGGGGAGCAAACAGGAUUAGAUACCCCGGUAGUC